UGCAGUCGACGGUGAAGCCAAGCUUGCUUGGUGGAUCAGUGGCGAACGGGUGAGUAACACGUGAGCAACCUGCCCUGGACUCUGGGAUAAGCGCUGGAAACGGCGUCUAAUACUGGAUAUGAGCUCUUACCGCAUGGUGGGGGUUGGAAAGAUUUUUCGGUCUGGGAUGGGCUCGCGGCCUAUCAGCUUGUUGGUGAGGUAAUGGCUCACCAAGGCGUCGACGGGUAGCCGGCCUGAGAGGGUGACCGGCCACACUGGGACUGAGACACGGCCCAGACUCCUACGGGAGGCAGCAGUGGGGAAUAUUGCACAAUGGGCGGAAGCCUGAUGCAGCAACGCCGCGUGAGGGAUGACGGCCUUCGGGUUGUAAACCUCUUUUAGCAGGGAAGAAGCGAGAGUGACGGUACCUGCAGAAAAAGCGCCGGCUAACUACGUGCCAGCAGCCGCGGUAAUACGUAGGGCGCAAGCGUUAUCCGGGAAUUAUUGGGCGUAAAGAGCUCGUAGGCGGUUUGUCGCGUCUGCUGUGAAAUCCCGAGGCUCAACCUCGGGCCUGCAGUGGGUACGGGCAGACUAGAGUGCGGUAGGGGAGAUUGGAAUUCCUGGUGUAGCGGUGGAAUGCGCAGAUAUCAGGAGGAACACCGAUGGCGAAGGCAGAUCUCUGGGCCGUAACUGACGCUGAGGAGCGAAAGGGUGGGGAGCAAACAGGCUUAGAUACCCUGGUAGUCCACCCCGUAAACGUUGGGAACUAGUUGUGGGGACCAUUCCACGGUUUCCGUGACGCAGCUAACGCAUUAAGUUCCCCGCCUGGGGAGUACGGCCGCAAGGCUAAAACUCAAAGGAAUUGACGGGGACCCGCACAAGCGGCGGAGCAUGCGGAUUAAUUCGAUGCAACGCGAAGAACCUUACCAAGGCUUGACAUACACCAGAACACCGUAGAAAUACGGGACUCUUUGGACACUGGUGAACAGGUGGUGCAUGGUUGUCGUCAGCUCGUGUCGUGAGAUGUUGGGUUAAGUCCCGCAACGAGCGCAACCCUCGUUCUAUGUUGCCAGCACGUAAUGGUGGGAACUCAUGGGAUACUGCCGGGGUCAACUCGGAGGAAGGUGGGGAUGACGUCAAAUCAUCAUGCCCCUUAUGUCUUGGGCUUCACGCAUGCUACAAUGGCCGGUACAAAGGGCUGCAAUACCGUGAGGUGGAGCGAAUCCCAAAAAGCCGGUCCCAGUUCGGAUUGAGGUCUGCAACUCGACCUCAUGAAGUCGGAGUCGCUAGUAAUCGCAGAUCAGCAACGCUGCGGUGAAUACGUUCCCGGGUCUUGUACACACCGCCCGUCAAGUCAUGAAAGUCGGUAACACCUGAAGCCGGUGGCCCAACCC
rnacentral:rRNA from 1 species